UGGGCGGUUAUGUUUGCAGUCAAUCUUCACUAGUUCCUCCAAGCACUAUUUGACUUUGGGAACCUCUUGGAGAAGAUCAAACCCGAAAUUUCGAGUACAUAAAUUUUUUCAAGAGGUGUUGUAACUUGUAAGUUUCCCCUGUUCCGCUUGAAGCCAUCUAUACAGACAUUGACCCCUCGAAAUCUAAAGUUGGCGAUAGAACGGUGGUUGGUCACUGGUCGGAGGUACCUUGCGGAAGACGUUAACACACAAAAAUGCCCUGGGAUUUAGAACGCAUUAAAUCUUUGUUAAAAUAUUUGUUUUAAAAAAAUAGUUGAGUAGUAUGCAUAUGUGUCCCGGGUAAAGCCGGCUAUUUUCUUAAUUAACUUCACGGAACUUAAGGGACACUAGUCAAUCCAUUGCCGGUGGCUAUAGAUAUUCUGCAGCUCGGCCGUGUCUUGCCAA